rnacentral:rRNA from 1 species
GAUGAACGCUGGCGGCGUGCCUAAUACAUGCAAGUCGAGCGAACAGACGAGGAGCUUGCUCCUCUGACGUUAGCGGCGGACGGGUGAGUAACACGUGGAUAACCUACCUAUAAGACUGGGAUAACUUCGGGAAACCGGAGCUAAUACCGGAUAAUAUAUUGAACCGCAUGGUUCAAUAGUGAAAGACGGUUUUGCUGUCACUUAUAGAUGGAUCCGCGCCGCAUUAGCUAGUUGGUAAGGUAACGGCUUACCAAGGCGACGAUGCGUAGCCGACCUGAGAGAGUGAUCGGCCACACUGGAACUGAGACACGGUCCAGACUCCUACGGGAGGCAGCAGUAGGGAAUCUUCCGCAAUGGGCGAAAGCCUGACGGAGCAACGCCGCGUGAGUGAUAAAGGUCUUCGGAUCGUAAAACUCUGUUAUUAGGGAAGAACAAAUGUGUAAGUAACUAUGCACGUCUUGACGGUACCUAAUCAGAAAGCCACGGCUAACUACGUG